CAAUGAGCUCUUUUAGUGUAUGUCCAGUAGGUUUUCUCAAGGAGAAAGCCAAA
rfam:Salmo salar isolate Sally breed double haploid chromosome ssa06, whole genome shotgun sequence.